rnacentral:rRNA from 1 species
CCUACGGGGCGCAGCAGUGGGGAAUAUUGGGCAAUGGGCGCAAGCCUGACCCAGCAACGCCGCGUGAAGGAAGAAGGCUUUUGGGUUGUAAACUUCUUUUCUCAGGGACGAAGCAAGUGACGGUACCUGAGGAAUAAGCCACGGCUAACUACGUGCCAGCAGCCGCGGUAAUACGUAGGUGGCAAGCGUUAUCCGGAUUUACUGGGUGUAAAGGGCGUGUAGGCGGGACUGCAAGUCAGAUGUGAAAACCACGGGCCCAACCUGAGGCCUGCAUUUGAAACUGUAGUUCUUGAGUACUGGAGAGG